rnacentral:sRNA from 1 species
AAGAGUUUCGUCGAGAUAUCCUCCUCCCGUCUCGACGGAUAAACGGCCGGCUUUCUCCUCCUCCCGAAACGCCGGUCGAUCAAAACGACACCCGCCGGACCUCCUCCCCCGGCGGGUGUUGUUU